rnacentral:rRNA from 1 species
AUGAACGCUAGCGGCAGGCCUAACACCUGCAAGUCGAGGGGUAGAAGGAGCUUGCUCCUUUGAGACCGGCGCACGGGUGCGUAACGCGUAUGCAAUCUACCUUGUACAGGGGAAUAGCCCAGAGAAAUUUGGAUUAAUGCCCCAUAGUAUAUAACCUUCGCAUGUUGGUUAUAUUAAAGUUCCAACGGUACAAGAUGAGCAUGCGUCCCAUUAGUUAGUUGGUAAGGUAACGGCUUACCAAGACGAUGAUGGGUAGGGGUCCUGAGAGGGAGAUCCCCCACACUGGUACUGAGACACGGACCAGACUCCUACGGGAGGCAGCAGUGAGGAAGAUUGAUCAAUGGUCGCAAGACUGAACCAGCCAUGCCGCGUGCAGGAAGACGGUCCUAUGGAUUGUAAACUGCUUUUAUACAGGAAGAAACCCUCCCACGUGUGGGAGCUUGACGGUACUGUAGGAAUAAGGAUCGGCUAACUCCGUG